UAGUCCCUGCAGUGUUCGUGACUUGACCUUACAUUUCUUGAACCAAUGCUUAUGGCAUUAGGUUGCCAGAUUGACAAGCAGGAGUGAACGUCUUAACUGACGAUCCCGAAACUUGACUGAAGGCGACCACCUUGAACCCUCGGUUCCAGGAUGCCGGUCUUGACGGCACAGGCGGGGCAUUU
rnacentral:other from 1 species